rnacentral:rRNA from 1 species
UACGUAGGGUGCAAGCGUUGUCCGGAAUUAUUGGGCGUAAAAGAGCUCGUAGGCGGUUUGUCGCGUCUGCUGUGAAAACGCGGGGCUCAACUCCGCGCCUGCAGUGGGUACGGGCAGACUAGAGUGCAGUAGGGGAGACUGGAAUUCCUGGUGUAGCGGUGGAAUGCGCAGAUAUCAGGAGGAACACCGGUGGGCGAAGGCGGGUCUCUGGGCUGUAACUGACGCUGGAGGAGCGAAAGCGUUGGGUAGCGAACAGG